CCUACGGGAGGCAGCAGUGGGGAAUUUUGGACAAUGGGCGAAAGCCUGAUCCAGCCAUUCCGCGUGAGUGAAGAAGGCCUUCGGGUUGUAAAGCUCUUUCGCAAGGGAAGAAAACUUAGUCUCUAACAUAGACUGAGGUUGACGGUACCUUGAUAAGAAGCACCGGCUAACUACGUGCCAGCAGCCGCGGUAAUACGUAGGGUGCGAGCGUUAAUCGGAAUUACUGGGCGUAAAGCGUGCGCAGGCGGUUUUGUAAGUCAGAUGUGAAAUCCCCGAGCUCAACUUGGGAACUGCGUUUGAAACUACAAGACUAGAAUAUGUCAGAGGGGGGUAGAAUUCCACGUGUAGCAGUGAAAUGCGUAGAGAUGUGGAGGAAUACCAAUGGCGAAGGCAGCCCCCUGGGAUAAUAUUGACGCUCAUGCACGAAAGCGUGGGGAGCAAACAGGAUUAGAUACCCUGGUAGUCCACGCCCUAAACGAUGUCUACUAGUUGUUGGUGGAGUAAAAUCCAUGAGUAACGCAGCUAACGCGUGAAGUAGACCGCCUGGGGAGUACGGUCGCAAGNUUAAAACUUAAGGAAUUGACGGNNGAGAGNGCGAGACGACGACGAGGAGAGG
rnacentral:rRNA from 1 species